UACAGAGGUCCCAAGCGUUGUUCGGAUUCAUUGGGCGUAAAGGGCGCGUAGGCGGCGCCGUAAGUCGGGUGUGAAAUUUCGGAGCUUAACUCCGAAACUGCAUUCGAUACUGCGGUGCUUGAGGACUGGAGAGGAGACUGGAAUUCAUGGUGUAGCAGUGAAAUGCGUAGAGAUCAUGAGGAAGACCAGUGGCGAAGGCGGGUCUCUGGACAGUUCCUGACACUGAGGCACGAAGGCCAGGGGAGCAAACGGG
rnacentral:rRNA from 1 species